rnacentral:rRNA from 1 species
AGUGAACGCUGGCGGUAGGCCUAACACAUGCAAGUCGAACGGCAGCACAGUAAGGGCUUGCUCUUACGGGUGGCGAGUGGCGGACGGGUGAGGAAUACAUCGGAAUCUACUUUUUCGUGGGGGAUAACGUAGGGAAACUUACGCUAAUACCGCAUACGACCUACGGGUGAAAGCAGGGGAUCUUCGGACCUUGCGCGAUUGAAUGAGCCGAUGUCGGAUUAGCUAGUUGGCGGGGUAAAGGCCCACCAAGGCGACGAUCCGUAGCUGGUCUGAGAGGAUGAUCAGCCACACUGGAACUGAGACACGGUCCAGACUCCUACGGGAGGCAGCAGUGGGGAAUAUUGGACAAUGGGCGCAAGCCUGAUCCAGCCAUACCGCGUGGGUGAAGAAGGCCUUCGGGUUGUAAAGCCCCUUUGUUGGGAAAGAAAAGCAGCAGGUUAAUACCCCGCUGUUCUGACGGUACCCAAAGAAUAAGCACCGGCUAACUUCGUG